UGUUGAUGGUGUAGGUGCAGUACAUAUUCCUAUCGUAACCACCAGGCUGUGACUCAAAGGUACCGGAGGUGCCGUUUAUGGUUGCAUUGCAGUAGACUGGAAUAAGUGCGAUUUGGAAAAGCACACGUCUGAACU